GCAUAGCGGUAUCCUGAGUAACGCGGGACACGAGGAAUCCUGCGCGAAUCUGCCGGGACCAUCCGGUAAGGCUAAAUACUCCCGUGAGACCGAUAGCGAACGAGUACUGUGAAGGAAAGGUGAAAAGAACCCCGAGCAGGGGAGUGAAAUAGUUCCUGAAACCAUACGCCUACAAGCGGUCGGAGCAUCUUACGAUGUGACGGCGUGCCUUUUGCAUAAUGAUCCUACGAGUUACCGUCACUGGCGAGGUUGAGUGUCAUGAGACACGUAGCCGCAGUGAAAGCGAGCCUGAACAGGGCGCACAGUCAGUGGGGGUAGACGCGAAACCAAGUGAUCUACACUUGGCCAGGAUGAAGUCCCGGUAACACGGGAUGGAGGUCCGCACCAAUAAGCGUUGAAAAGCUUCUGGAUGAGCCGAGUGUAGGAGUGAAAGGCCAAUCAAACUUGGAGAUAGCUCGUACUCCCCGAAAGGCAUUUAGGUGCCGCGUCGGAUGGUCACCGUGAGAGGUAGAGCGACCGAUAGGACAAGAGGGCUUCACCGCCUAUCGAGUCCUGACGAACUCCGAAUGCUCACGGUCUGCAGUCCGGCAGUAAGGGGGCGGGUGCUAAGGUCCGUCCCCGAGAGGAGAAGAAUCCAGACCGCCGUCUAAGGUCCCGGAGUUCUGCCUGAGUUAGUCUAACGAAGUCUGGUCCCUAUGACAGCUAGGAUGUUGGCUUGGAAGCAGCCAUUCAUUCAAAGAGUGCGUAACAGCUCACUAGUCGAGGGUCCGGGCAUGGAUAAUAAUCGGGUAUAAGGCAGACACCGAAGGCGCGGGAUAGCAUUUAAGAAAGUAUCGGUAGGGGAGCAUACUCACAGCGUCGAAUGGUGUACGUAAGUUAUCCUGGAGCGGUGAGUAAAGCAAAUGUAGGAAUAAGUAACGAUAAGGAGGGUUAGAUUCCCUCCCGCUGUAAGACCAAGGUUUCCCGGGCAAUGCCAAUCAGCCCGGGGUCAGUCGGGUCCUAAGUCUAAGCCGAACGGCGAUGGCGAUGGCAGAGACGGUUAAUAUUCCGUCACUGCCGCAUGGGGCGACGUGGAGACGGAGCAGUGAAACCACCGCGGGGCGACGGAAGUCCCCGUUGAAGAGUGUAGGCGUUGAGGAUGGCAGGCAAAUCCACC
rnacentral:rRNA from 1 species